rnacentral:lncRNA from 10 species
CUCUCUCCAGCCAGAUGCUAGAGGCAGGUCUCCUGUGGGAGCUCCAGCAGGCUUGGAAAUAGCUGGUCCCUAGCAUCACCUUUCCAUUCAAUAGCAAAGCAGUGGAGGAGAGAGGGAGAGAGAUGGAGAGACACUGGUCUGUGAGGAGCCAAUGGCGAAGGGCAAGAAAUGCUCCACAAACGAAGAACACAGUAUUUAUUCCCACUGGGGGAAGAGAAGCAGGUUCUGAAUAUACACAAAUAAGAACCAGAAUUGGGUAAAGCAGUGAAAAGUAGGAGGAAGAAAAUAGAAUUGGGGCUAGGAGGAGGAUCUCAGCCCCCCAGUGCCUUGUGCAGGAGAGAAAUGAAGCACAGGUCAGCACAUGUGAGCGGUAUACACGAAGCAGAUCACUUUAACACUCAUUCCUGACAUCAAAGGGGAUGGAGCGAGUCCUGCUGCACACUUUGCACUUGCUGGCCUCAGACCAAGCACUUCUCAGGCAGUUCCUCACCCCCGGCACAGGAGCUGGCGCCCAUCAUCCUUCCCACGUCAAAGAAGAGGGCACAAAGUCAGAGCCAGCCAGGGACAAGCUGAGCUGAAGAGGCAGAAGAAAGAUCUGCCUGUUUUCCAGAAGAGCCGCACCCAUCUCUUGCCUUUUCAAGUGCCUUUCCCCUGCCCCCUGAACUUAUUCUCCUUCUUUGCACAGCUCCUGCCCAACCUCUUCCUUCAUGCUGAGAAGGAUGACGGUGAGAAAAAAACAUAUGGUGCCCAGA